rnacentral:rRNA from 1 species
UUGAAAGGGAAACGAUUGAAGUCAGUCGUACCAGCGGGAAAUCAACCUUUCGAGUGGGGGUUUUGGAGUUUUGAAGAGUUUCAAAACCUUUGAGAUUUCAAAAAUUUCGCUCUUUUGGUGUACUUUCUCGUGGGUAGGUUAACAUCGAUUUUGAUCAUCAUAAAAAGACUGGAGGAAUGUAGCUUCGAUCUUGUAUUGAAGUGUUAUAGCCUUUGGUAAAUGUGAUGAUUAGGAUCGAGGAUUGCAACGAAUACCCUUCUGGGCUAUCCGCCUGAUCUCUGAUACGUGGCCUUGGCAUCGAAAGCUUGCUUAUGGUAUCAAGGUAUUACGGUCAAAAGGUUAGAACGGAUUACAUUCGUUAAGGAUGUUGACGUA